rnacentral:rRNA from 1 species
CCCCUAGAUGUUCUGGGCCGCACGCGCGCUACACUGAACAGUUCAACAAGUCUUAACCUUGGCCGACAGGCCCGGGCAAUCUUUGAACGCUGAUCGUGAUGGGGAUAGACUUUUGCAAUUUUUGGUCUUCAACGAGGAAUUCCUAGUAAACGCAAGUCAUCAACUUGCAUUGAUUACGUCCCUGCCCUUUGUACACACCGCCCGUCGCACCUACCGAUUGAAUGGUCCGGUGAAGCCUCCGGAUUGGCGUGCACCCUCGGGUGCUGCCGAGAAGUUGGCUAAACCUUACCAUUUAGAGGAAGGUGAAGUCGUAACA